GUUGAAAUACUAGUUCCCGUAAGAUCAUCGAAGUUAAGCAACGUUGAAUCUGGUCAGUAUUUAGAUGGGUAACCACUUGGAAACACCAGGUGCUGUAAG